UAUAUAUAUAGAUAAAGAUAUAGAUAGAAUGAAAUACAUAGUAUAUUUUGAUGACACACAUGUGGAUAUAUUAAAUGAAGAAGAUGUCAUGCUCAUGGACUAUGAAGGUUACUCAAUUGAUGAUUGGAAUUCAUUGUCAGUUGAUCAUGUUGUACGUAUUCAAGCUGUGUGGAAAGACCAACCAUUUGAUGCAUGUCUUCUGCAAGUAGUUCCUAAUGAUGACAGUUGUCAGCAAACUAUAAACAGUUUGAGACAUGCAGUUAAAGUUAAAAAUUUUGGUGCAUUGAGGUUAAUGAAGUACAUCAAGUUCAGAGUUCGGCCUAAUAAACGCGCACCUUUACAGCCUUUAGACAACCUCACCAGUGGAACCGAUUCUGAUGCCUUUACACCACUGUUUGUUAAACCACUAGCUGUUAAAGUUAGUGAACCAAUACCUCCACUUUGUUCUCCACCUUUAGUCCCAAUGCAUAUAUUUACACCAACAUCUUCUAUCCAACAUGUUGAUAAAAACCAAUUACAAGUCUCAUCUUCUAUUAUUUCUAAGUCUUUUAAACCUUUGGCCUGCAAAGUGUCAACGUCAGAUGGUCCAAAAACAAAACGAGCAAAUAGUACUCAUGCUGUGCUCCAUGAGCUCAAUGUUCUUUGCAACGAUGCAGGCAUCGAUUCUGACACAGUCCAAGCUGUGCGAUCUGGUCAAGCUGUCAUUUUGCAAAAAUUAGCUCUUAUUUCACAACGGCUGGACAGCUUGACGCAUUCAACAGUGAAAGCAAUACCAUUAUUGAAAAGCGAACAAAGAAAAGUUCCUUUGUUUUGUACUCCGGAUGAUCUAGCAAAUGCAGAUAUUGUUUUAUCUGAUGAAAUAUUUCAGUGGAUGCUUCAAGAAGGUGGCCGUGAUUCCAAUGAUCUUUGUGAGCGUUUAUUAAAUCUCCUUUUAUCAAUUGAUUUGGCAAAACAACUUAAUCGAAGUGGGAAAAAUGGUAAAUUAAAACUUCCAGUGAAGUUAGAGAAAUUCAUAAAGGACUGCGUUUUGACAAAAUUUCCAAAUGAAACUCGCAAUGUUGUAGAGUUGCGCAUCAAACGAUUUUUGCAUAAUGCAAAGGACAAGAAUGGUGGAAGGGCUGCAAGGCGAAAUUCUAAAGUUCCUAAAGAAGCUGUUGAAUGCAAUGACUUGAUUAUUGCAAAAAAUAAUAAAGAUUUUGACAAUGAACAUCCUGGUCCAAAGUGCCAAAUUAUAGAUAUAGAUGUCGAAGAAAUCAAAAUCAACUUAUGAAUUAUCGAAUUGAUUCUUUCAACAAUCUAUAAAGGUUUUUUCAGUGUUACUAUUUUUGGAUUCAUUGCCAAGCAAUGAAGCAGUGCGUUUAACUAUUAACAGAAGAACUCCUUCAGGGGCUGUUGAAUGCAAAGAAGUAAACAAUGACCAAGAUACAAAUGAUUUUGGCAGUGCACAUCCUGAUUCAAAUUGCCCAAAUGCUGCACACAGUGAAUUAUCGGUUAAAAAUAAAACUUUGGAAUUUCACCCGAUUCAAUUUAUUUGAUGAUUCAACUGAUUCAGAAUAAUUUAUUUAAAAGAAAUAUAUAAUUUUGUUUUA